rnacentral:rRNA from 1 species
CCCUUAGUAGAGCGGCGCACGGGUGCGUAACACGUGGAUAAUCUGCCUGGAUGCCUGGGAUAACCAGUCGAAAGAUUGGCUAAUACCGGAUAAGCCCACGGUUUCUUCGGAGACUGAGGGAAAAGGUGGCCUCUGUAUACAAGCUAUCACAACCAGAUGAGUCCGCGGCCCAUCAGCUAGUUGGCGGGGUAAUGGCCCACCAAGGCGACGACGGGUAGCUGGUCUGAGAGGACGAUCAGCCACACUGGAACUGAGACACGGUCCAGACUCCUACGGGAGGCAGCAGUGGGGAAUUUUGCGCAAUGGGCGAAAGCCUGACGCAGCAACGCCGCGUGUGUGAUGAAGGUCUUUGGAUUGUAAAGCACUUUCGACCGGGACGAAACCGUAAAGCCUAAUACGCUUUGCCUUGACGGUACCGGGAGAAGAAGCACCGGCUAACUCUGUGCCAGCAGCCGCGGUAAUACAGAGGGUGCAAGCGUUGUUCGGAAUUAUUGGGCGUAAAGCGCGUGUAGGCGGCUUUGCAAGUCGGGUGUGAAAGCCCUCAGCUCAACUGAGGAAGUGCGCCCGAAACUGCAGAGCUUGAGUGCCGGAGAGGGUGGCGGAAUUCCCCAAGUAGAGGUGAAAUUCGUAGAUAUGGGGAGGAACACCGGUGGCGAAGGCGGCCACCUGGACGGUAACUGACGCUGAGACGCGAAAGCGUGGGUAGCAAACAGGAUUAGAUACCCUGGUAGUCCACGCCGUAAACGAUGAGAACUAGGUGUCGUGGGAGUUGACCCCCGCGGUGCCGUAGCUAACGCAUU